GACGAACGCUGGCGGCGUGCCUAAUACAUGCAAGUAGAACGCUGAAGCUUGGUGCUUGCACCGAGCGGAUGAGUUGCGAACGGGUGAGUAACGCGUAGGUAACCUGCCUGGUAGCGGGGGAUAACUAUUGGAAACGAUAGCUAAUACCGCAUAAGAGUAGAUGUUGCAUGACAUUUGCUUAAAAGGUGCAAUUGCAUCACUACCAGAUGGACCUGCGUUGUAUUAGCUAGUUGGUGAGGUAACGGCUCACCAAGGCAACGAUAUAUAGCCGACCUGAGAGGGUGAUCGGCCACACUGGGACUGAGACACGGCCCAGACUCCUACGGGAGGCAGCAGUAGGGAAUCUUCGGCAAUGGACGGAAGUCUGACCGAGCAACGCCGCGUGAGUGAAGAAGGUUUUCGGAUCGUAAAGCUCUGUUGUAAGAGAAGAACGAGUGUGAGAGUGGAAAGUUCA
rnacentral:rRNA from 1 species